CGUCUGCCUGGCACGGCUUGUGUCAUCAUGGAUAAUCAGUGAAGUGGUAGCAGCCAGCUAACCCAGCACCAAUGCAAAGCUACCAGAGUGGCUUCUCUGACUGACUUACUACUCCUGGUAACCACAGUGGUGUUCUAGCAGGUUGAAUUGGAGAAAACCUGCAUGACCAAGUUGAGAAAAUGUGUCAAUCUCUCAAGUUUGAGAUAAUGUCUUCAUUU